rnacentral:rRNA from 1 species
UACGUAGGUGGCGAGCGUUGUCCGGAUUUACUGGGCGUAAAGGGCGUGCAGGCGGUUUGCUAAGUCUAGGGUGAAAGCUCCCGGCUUAACUGGGAGAGGUCCUUGGAUACUGGCAGACUUGAGGAGGGUAGAGGAGAGUGGAAUUCCCGGUGUAGUGGUGAUAUGCGUAGAUAUCGGGAGGAACACCAGUGGCGAAGGCGGCUCUCUGGGCCCUACCUGACGCUGAGACGCGAAGGCGUGGGGAGCGAACAGG